GGAGGCAGCAGUGGGGAAUAUUGCACAAUGGGCGAAAGCCUGAUGCAGCGACGCCGCGUGAGGGAUGACGGCCUUCGGGUUGUAAACCUCUUUCAGCAGGGAAGAAGCGAAAGUGACGGUACCUGCAGAAGAAGCGCCGGCUAACUACGUGCCAGCAGCCGCGGUAAUACGUAGGGCGCGAGCGUUGUCCGGAAUUAGUUGGGCGUAAAGAGCUCGUAGGCGGCUUGUCACGUCGGUUGUAGAAACGCCCGGGGCUUAACCCCGGGU
rnacentral:ncRNA from 1 species